GUAGGGCGGCUUGUCGCUGAUAGCUAUGCUAUUUGAGGAAAGUCCGGGCAAAGUAGAGCAUCGUGCUUCCUAAUUAGAAGAUCUGCCGCGAGGUGAUGCUUAGCAUAACAGAAAUAUACCGCCGUAAGGUAAGGGUGAAAUGGUGAGGUAAGAGCUCACCGGAGUUGUGGGUGACCACUCUCGCUCUAUGCUGCCACGAUUUGUAAGGCCAUGUAUAUCCAAACCAGCUCUUGCUGACAUUGCUGCUCGUGAUGUUGAGAUUUCGGUCUCUGUUUGGAGGGGUAGGCCGCUUGAGUUGAAUGGUGACAUUCAAUCUAGAUAAAUGACAGGCGCGUGCUUUUGGCACGUACAGAACUCGGCUUAUAGUUCUACUA
rnacentral:RNase_P_RNA from 1 species